AUUGAACGCUGGCGGCAGGCCUAACACAUGCAAGUCGAGCGCGCGGCGGACGGGUGAGUAAUGUCUCGGAAACAGCCUGAUGGAGGGGGAUAACUACUGGAAACGGUAGCUAAUACCGCAUACCAUCAGAUGUGUCCACAUGGGAUUUGCUAGUAGGUGGGGUAUAGGCUCACCUAGGCGACGAUCCCCAGCUGGUCUGAGAGGAUGACCAGCCACACUGGAACUGAGACACGGUCCAGACUCCUACGGGAGGCAGCAGUGGGGAAUAUUGGACAAUGGGCGCAAGCCUGAUGCAGCCAUGCCGCGUGUGUGAAGAAGGCCUUCGGGUUGUAAAGCACUUUCAGCGGGGAGGCGUUACCCGCAGAAGAAGCACCGGCUAACUCCGUGCCAGCCGCCGCGGUAAUUC
rnacentral:rRNA from 1 species